rnacentral:tRNA from 1 species
GCCCUGGGUGGCUCAGAUCGGUAGAGCGUCUGCCAUGUAAGCAGAAGAUCCCGGGUUCGAGUCCCGGUCGUGGCA